GAAUUGCACCCACGCGAUGCUACGCGUGCGGUCGACGGACCAUGGGAGCUUGCGUCCUCGAUGUUGGCGACGGACGGAUGAGUAACACGUGGGUAACCUGCCUGUUUACUGGGAUAACUCCGGGAAACCGGUGCUAAUACCGGAUGGUUGUUUGAACCGCAUGGUUCAAACGUAAUAGGUGGCUUCGGCUACCACUUACGAAUGGACCCGCGGCGCAUUAUCUAGUUGGUGAGGUAACCGCUCACCAAGGCAACGAUGCGUACCCAAACUGAGAGGGUGACCGGCCACACUGGGACUGAGACCCGACCCAUACUCCAACGGGAGGCGGGAAUAAGUAAUCUUCGGGAAUGAACGAAUGCCUGACCGAUCACCUGCGCGUGAAUGAUGAAUGUUUUCUAAUCGCAAAUUUUUGUGGAAAAAAAAUAACACGUACCGAUCGGAUAGGGCGGUAACUUGACGGUACCUAAACACAAAGCCACUGCUAGCUACGUGCCGCCAGCCGAGGUAAUACGUAGGUGGUUCGCGUUGUCCGGAUUUAUUGAGCGUAAAGGGAUGGCAGUUUUUUUCUUAAGUCUGAUGCGAAA
rnacentral:rRNA from 1 species